CAAAAACAUGUCUAAUAGAUCAUAUAAUUUUUAGUCAAAUCUGCUCAAUGAAUUUUAAAUAGCUGCAGUAUAAAUAACUGUACUAAGGUAGCAUAAUAAAUAGUUUCUUAAUUAGAAACUUGUAUGAAAGAUUUAAUGAAAAAUUAACUUUAUUUAUUAAAAAAAUUUAAUUUUUAUUUAAAUAAAAAUAUUUAAAUAAAAUAAAUAAACAAAAAGACCCUAAAAACUUUAUAAAUUUUAUAAAUACAUUUAUUUAAUUGGGGAAAUUAAAAAAAUUAAAAAAUUUUUUUAUUAUAAACAAUAAUAUUUGAAAAAAAUAAUUUUAAUAAAAUAAAUAAAAAAGUUACUUUAGGGAUAACAGUAUAAUUUUUUUUUUUAGAUCACAUAAAUAAAAAAGUUUAUGACCUC
rnacentral:rRNA from 1 species